AACAACAUAAGAAGACUGAGUUUCUGCUGACUAGUCAACAUUAUUUGUGGGCCAAGCUUUAGCUUAAAUAAAUUGUAUAAAGUUGUUUAGGAUUUCAGGGGCCAUGUAUUGGGCAUAAUAGCAUAAAAUAAUUGGACCAAAUAUUUGGGCCAAGUUGCAUAGGUUUUCGGGCUUGUAUUUGGGCCAAUAGUAAAAUAUGACUAAUUAGGGUUAAAAGUGAUUAGUUAGGGUAACAAUUGGGCUUCUUUGAGCCUAAUGUAACCCUAAAACGUCUAGGGCAUAUUGAAGAACGAAAAUACCUUGGCAUGGAGCACAUGGACGUCUACAUGGCAACAUAGGAGUGGAGAGGAUUUAGCAUGGAAGGUGUGAGCUAACAUGGAAAGCAUGACUCCA
rnacentral:lncRNA from 1 species